UCUGCCGGGAAGUGGGGGAUAGCUCGCCGAAAGGCGAAUUAAUACCGCAUGUGGCCAGAGGGGACAUCCCUUCGACGCCAAAGUCGCAAGACGCUUCCUGAUGAGCUCGCGGCCUAUCAGCUUGUUGGUGAGGUAAUGGCUCACCAAGGCUUUGACGGGUAGCUGGUCUGAGAGGACGACCAGCCACACUGGAACUGAGACACGGUCCAGACACCUACGGGUGGCAGCAGUCGAGAAUUUUUCACAAUGGGGGCAACCCUGAUGGAGCGACGCCGCGUGGAGGAUGAAGGUCUUCGGAUUGUAAACUCCUGUCAUGCGAGAACAAGAAAGUGAUAGUAUCGCAAGAGGAAGAGACGGCUAACUCUGUGCCAGCAGCCGCGGUAAUACAGAGGUCUCAAGCGUUGUUCGGAUUCAUUGGGCGUAAAGGGUGCGUAGGUGGCGUGGAAAGUUGAGUGUGAAAUCCUAGGGCUUAACCUUAGAACUGCACUCAAUACUCCCAUGCUAGAGGAAUGUAGAGGAGAGUGGAAUUCACGGUGUAGCAGUGAAAUGCGUAGAUAUCGUGAGGAAGACCAGUUGCGAAGGCGACUCUCUGGGCAUUUCCUGACACUGAGGCACGAAGGCCAGGGGAGCAAAUGGGAUUAGAUACCC
rnacentral:rRNA from 1 species